rnacentral:lncRNA from 1 species
CCGAGAUUUGGAAUGGAACCACAAAGCUGAGAAUGUCUGCAUAAAUACAAGAUUAAUAACAGUAAUUAUUUGAAGACAAAUUCCACACAUUCAAUUAACUGCAACACUAGAAACAGCGCAGUACAUACCAAUCUUAUUUUUCUUUGUAAUUAUCAAUGCUUUCUAGUCCCAACAAGUUGUAAACAUUCAUGAAUACAAGACUUUAGUGUCCCAUGUGAAAUAAAAGAAUAAAUUUCCAAUGUGUGGGGGGGGGGGGGGGUUGUAGUAGGUUUAACCCAUGUUCGUCAGUACAUUAGUCGUCACAAAGAUGGUUUCCAUUCUAUAAUUUUAGUUUGCCUCAAUCAAAUCUUAUGAAACAUGUAUACAUACACACAGAGAUCAAGUUUGAAUUUUAUUGGUGUCACUGUUAACUGUAUAAUUUGCCUUAUAUGGCCUGGUUAACUAAAGAAAUUUCUAAAAGUGACCAUUUGAUCUUAGGAGAACCUUUCUGGAGCCCUCUUUUUGUCAUACAUACAAUAUUAUAUUUUUCGACUUUCAUGUAGAUUUUUUUUUAUCUUUUCUGUUAAUUUAAAAAGAAGAUGUGGUAUAAUUGUUAAUGAGACGGUUACACGUCAUUAUUCCGACAGCCCAUUAGUUCGACAGCCCAUUGGUCCGACAGCCCAUUAGUCCGAC